AGCGAACGCUGGCGGCGUGCUUAACACAUGCAAGUCGAACGUGAAAGGGAGCAAUCCUGAGUAAAGUGGCGAACGGGUGAGUAACACGUAGGUAAUCUACCCUAAAGUCUGGAAUAACCUGCCGAAAGGCGGGCUAAUACUGGAUAGAGCGACGGAACUUAUAAUGAGUUUUCGGAAGGGAGGAAGCAAUUCCCUUCGUCUUUAGGUAUGAGCCUCGCGUCCCACUCAGCUAGUUGGUAGAGUAAAAGACCUACCAAGGCUAUGACGGGUAGCUGGUCUGAGAGGAUGAUCAGCCACACUGGAACU
rnacentral:rRNA from 1 species